GGGGGCGCACUGGCUUCGACGUGGGAUGUUGAAGCGAACGAUUUCGUGCCGUGGGUAUCUCGGUGACCACGUUAUUAACUGUCGAGAAUCUACAACUGGCAACGAUACAAACCAGUAUGCGAUGGCUGCGUAAGCAGACUGUCGUGAAUAGACGCGGGUAAAACCGCCCGUCCACUAUUGCACCUCGCCUGUGGGGCUUUAGGGACGACGAAAAGCAGGCUUGGCCCCAGGAAGUUCGGUCUUCGGUCUGGGGCGACACAUGAGAAGGCCCCUCUUUCGCCAUAGCCUGUCCGUGGACAGUGGUUGAAGGAGGUAAAACUUCAAACACGGACUACGCACGUAGCAGCGUUCAGUGGAUCUUCCGCGGACGCGGGUUCGAUUCCCGCCGCCUCCAUUC
rnacentral:tmRNA from 2 species